AAAAUUUAAAAUUAUAAUACUAAAAUAGUAAAUAAUUAUUUAUUAAAACUUAAAUAAUUUGGCGGUAUUUUAGUUCAUUUAGAGGAAUCUGUUUAAUAAUUGAUAUUCCACGAAUAAAUUUACUUAAUUUAUAAUUUUGUAUAUCGUUGUUAUAAAAAUAUUUUUUAAUAAAAUUAAUAUUUAAAAAUUAUUAUAAAAAUUUAAAUCAGAUCAAGAUGCAGAUUAUAAUUAAGAAUAUAAUGGAUUACAAUAAAAUUAUUUAAAUUAAUAUUAAUUUGUAAAAAUUAAUUGAAAGUGGAUUUAAAUGUAAUUUUAUUUAAUUUAAUAAAAUGAUUAAAAAUUAAAAUAUGU
rnacentral:rRNA from 1 species